GUGCUCGCUUCAGCAGCACAUAUACUAAAAUUGGAAUGAGAGAAUAUUAGCAUGGCCUCUGCACAAGGAUGACAUGCAAAUUUGUGAAGUGUUCCCAAAAAAU